rnacentral:misc_RNA from 1 species
UCUCCGUUGGUGAACCAGCGGAGGGAUCAUUACCGAGUUCCAGCAACUCCCAACCCUUGCGAACCGUACCCCAGUCUGUUCUCGUUGCUUCCGGCAGGCGGGGGGGGCCACCUGGCCCCUCCCCCUGCCGGGGGCGGCGGGCCCUCUGAAUCUUUAUAUCUCAACCACUGUAACCCGUCUGAGCAAAACAAAAAAUAAUCAAAACUUUCAACAACGGAUCUCUUGGCUCUG